rnacentral:rRNA from 1 species
CCGCGUGAGUGAAGAAGGCCUUAGGGUCGUAAAGCUCUUUCGCUGGGGAAGAUAAUGACUGUACCCAGUAAAGAAACCCCGGCUAACUCCGUGCCAGCAGCCGCGGUAAUACGGAGGGGGUUAGCGUUGUUCGGAAUUACUGGGCGUAAAGCGCGCGUAGGCGGAUCAGAAAGUUGGGGGUGAAAUCCCGGGGCUCAACCUCGGAACUGCCUCCAAAACUCCUGGUCUUGAGUUCGAGAGAGGUGAGUGGAAUUCCGAGUGUAGAGGUGAAAUUCGUAGAUAUUCGGAGGAACACCAGUGGCGAAGGCGGCUCACUGGCUCGAUACUGACGCUGAGGUGCGAAAGUGUGGGGAGCAAACAGGAUUAGAUACCCUGGUAGUCCACACCGUAAACGAUGAAUGCCAGUCGUCGGCAAGCAUGCUUGUCGGUGACACACCUAACGGAUUAAGCAUUCCGCCUGGGGAGUACGGUCGCAAGAUUAAAA